rnacentral:lncRNA from 1 species
CUUUAUGUGAAAAUAUUCCCUUUCCCACUGUAGGCCUCAAAGCACUCAAAAUGUCCACUUGCAGAUUCUACAAAAAGAGAGCUUCAGAACUACUCAAUGAAAAGAAAGGUUUAACUCUGUGAGAUGAAUGCACAUAUCACAAAGAAGUUUCACAGAUUGCUUCUGUGUAGAUUUUAUGUGAAGAUAUUUCCUUUUCUACCAUAGGCCGCAAAGCACUCCAAAUGUCCACUUGUAGUUUCUACAAAAAGAGUGUUUCCAAACUGCUGAAUUAAAAGAAAGGUUCAACUCUGUGAGAUGAACGCAAGCAUCACAAAGAAGUUU